UACGUAGGGUGCGAGCGUUAAUCGGAAUUACUGGGCGUAAAGCGUGCGCAGGCGGUUUUGUAAGCCAGAUGUGAAAUCCCCGGGCUCAACCUGGGAAUGGCAUUUGGGACUGCAAGGCUGGAGUACGGCAGAGGAGACUGGAAUUCCUGGUGUAGCAGUGAGAUGCGUAGAUAUCAGGAGGAAUACCGAUGGCGAAGGCAGGUCUCUGGGCUGAUACUGACGCUCAUGCACGAAAGCGUGGGGAGCAACAGG
rnacentral:rRNA from 1 species